CACGACGUGCUGCCUCCCACGGUGCGAGGGCCGGCCUAGUCAUGCCAGUGUGCGUACACAACACCCAGAACACGGUGAUGAACUCACCGCCGCGCGCCAGCGCCUCCUUAUGGGCCUUCACGUGGAGGUCGCCGGCCGAUGGCGCCACAUACACCAUGACCUCCAUUCAAAGGGAAGGCAGGUUAUGGCGGGUGAUGGAAGGAACGAACCAGAUUCGUUACUGAACACGAGGGAUGGGCCAAGAAGCCAUGCUGAGAUGGGGCCUUCGGACGGAAGCGCACGUGGCGGGGCUUUCUCCUGCAUCGCCAGUACCGCUCACGAAACGUCUUGCUUUGUCGACAUGGAUGCCAACAGGAUGCUAAACCAGAUUCAUGGGAGGAGAAAUAUUUCAAACCACAUCCAACACCCGAUUGCAUCAAUGUGUGGUACUAAGAUACCGUACCAUGACUGCUCCAUCUUUUCUUGGUCGGCGACGCUGCCAAGGUCGAGGCGCAGUAGAACACGGUGGCGAUGUUGGUGUACCUCUCCUGACGACCGACCCUGAGCCUGUGGUAGCCACCUGCUGCUGUUCUCCACUCUCGAAGUGUCGCGCUGCUCGGUGAGCCUCGUGGAGGAGGCGGUGAUCGUGGCCAGCUUGGAGCCAAAGGGUCUAGCGUGUGCGGGCGGCCACUUCAGAAGCAGCAGGAGGUUUGGCAGCUCUAUGCCAACAGUCACGGUGAGCAAGGUAUGGUUAACAAGGUUUGCGGCAAGAAGAUAUACAUUGCACAUCGCUUGCUGCAGGUAUCGCUUUUACUUGUCAUCUUGUUUUUUUGUGUUGCUUUUGGACUAGUGUUCAGAUUAAUACUCUAAUAAAAAAUAAAGUUUGGAGCUAGGGGUUAUUUUUAAAAAUAUCUUAAAAAGUUUAAAAAUAAAAAAAUCAAACGUAUUACACGUUACAGUGAGGGGCGUGGAGUAUCACCGGUCACUUGUAUUUGUGAAGGGGUGUUUGGCAGCACUCCUGUGAUGACCGACCCCUAAUCUCCCAAGUUAAUCUUAAUCCUAGCCCUUGAU